GUCCCCAUAGUUCAAUGGAUAGAGCGAGAGCCUCCGGAGCUCUAGAUUGAGGUUCGAAUCCUCAUGGGGACA
rfam:Elusimicrobia bacterium RIFCSPLOWO2_01_FTLL_60_11 rifcsplowo2_01_scaffold_48192, whole genome shotgun sequence.